rnacentral:rRNA from 1 species
UUAAGCGAAUAAGCGUACACGGUGGAUGCCUAGGCAAUCAGAGGCGAUGAAGGACGUGCUAAUCUGCGAAAAGCGUCGGUAAGGUGAUAUGAACCGUUAUACCCGACGAUAUCCGAAUGGGGAAACCCAGUAUCCAAUGGAUACUAUCAUUAACUGAAUCCAUAGGUUAAUGAGGCGAACCGGGAGAACUGAAACAUCUCAGUACCCCGAGGAAAAGAAAUCAACCGAGAUUCCCCUAGUAGCGGCGAGCGAACGGGGAGCAGCCCAGAGUCUUAAUCAAUAGCAGUGUCAGGAGAACGGUCUGGAAAGUCCGGCAGUAAAGGGUGAUAGCCCCGUAUCUGAAGAUGUUGUUAUUGUUGAACUCGACGAGUAGGGCGGGACACGUGUUAUCCUGUCUGAAUAUGGGGGGACCAUCCUCCAAGGCUAAAUACUCCUGAUUGACCGGAUAGUGAACCAGUACCGUGAGGGAAAGGCGAAAAGAACCCCCGGCGAGGGGAGUGAAAAAGAACCUGAAACCGUGUACGCUACAAGCAGUAGGAGCCUCUUUAUGGGGUGACUGCGUACCUUUUGGUAUAAUGGGUCAGCGACUUAUAUUCUGUAGCAAGGUUAACCGUAUAGGGAGCCGUAGGGAAACCGAGUCUUAACUGGGCGAAUGAGUUGCAGGGUAUAGACCCGAAACCCGGUGAUCUAUCCAUGGGCAGGUUGAAGGUUGGGUAACACUAACUGGAGGACCGAACCGACUAAUGUUGAAAAAUUAGCGGAUGACUUGUGGAUGGGGGUGAAAGGCCAAUCAAACCGGGAGAUAGCUGGUUCUCCCCGAAAGCUAUUUAGGUAGCGCCUCGUGAAUUCAUCUUCGGGGGUAGAGCACUGUUUCGACUAGGGGGUCAUCCCGACUUACCAACUCGAUGCAAACUGCGAAUACCGAAGAAUGUUAUCACGGGAGACACACGGCGGGUGCUAACGUCCGUCGUGAAGAGGGAAACAACCCAGACCGCCAGCUAAGGUCCCAAAGUCAUGGUUAAGUGGGAAACGAAGUGGGAAGGCUCAGACAGCCAGGAUGUUGGCUUAGAAGCAGCCAUCAUUUAAAGAAAGCGUAAUAGCUCACUGGUCGAGUCGGCCCGCGCGGAAGAUGUAACGGGGCUAAACCAUGCACCGAAGCUGCGGCAGCGACACAAGUGUUGUUGGGUAGGGGAGCGUUCUGUAAGCCUGCGAAGGUGUACUGUGAGGUAUGCUGGAGGUAUCAGAAGUGCGAAUGCUGACAUAAGUAACGAUAAUGCGGGUGAAAAACCCGCACGCCGGAAGACCAAGGGUUCCUGUCCAACGUUAAUCGGGGCAGGGUGAGUCGACCCCUAAGGCGAGGCUGAAAAGCGUAGUCGAUGGGAAACGGGUUAAUAUUCCCGUACUGGUGGUAACUGCGAUGGGGGAACGGAGAAGGCUAGGUUGUCCGGGCGACGGUCGUCCCGGUUCAAGCAGGUAGGCAGAGUGAUUAGGCAAAUCCGGUCACUUAAUGCUGAGAUGUGAUGACGAACCACCAAGGUGGUGAAGCAAUUGAUGCCCCGCUUCCAGGAAAAGCCUCUAAGCUUCAGGUUACCAACAAUCGUACCCCAAACCGACACAGGUGGUCAGGUAGAGAAUACUCAGGCGCUUGAGAGAACUCGGGUGAAGGAACUAGGCAAAAUGGUGCCGUAACUUCGGGAGAAGGCACGCUGGCGGUAGGUAAAGUCCCUUGCGGACGGCUGAAGCCAGUCGAAGAUACCAGCUGGCUGCAACUGUUUAUUAAAAACACAGCACUGUGCAAACACGAAAGUGGACGUAUACGGUGUGACGCCUGCCCGGUGCUGGAAGGUUAAUUGAUGGGGUUAGCCGUAAGGCGAAGCUCCUGAUCGAAGCCCCAGUAAACGGCGGCCGUAACUAUAACGGUCCUAAGGUAGCGAAAUUCCUUGUCGGGUAAGUUCCGACCUGCACGAAUGGCGUAAUGAUGGCCAGGCUGUCUCCACCCGAGACUCAGUGAAAUUGAACUCGCUGUGAAGAUGCAGUGUACCGCGGCAAGACGGAAAGACCCCGUGAACCUUUACUAUAGCUUGACACUGAACAUUGAGCCUUGAUGUGUAGGAUAGGUGGGAGGCUUUGAAGUGUGGACGCCAGUCUGCAUGGAGCCAACCUUGAAAUACCACCCUUUAACGUUUGAUGUUCUAACCUAGGCCCAUAAACUGGGUCGGGGACCGUGUCUGGUGGGUAGUUUGACUGGGGCGGUCUCCUCCUAAAGAGUAACGGAGGAGCACGAAGGUUGGCUAAGCAUGGUCGGACAUCAUGCGGUUAGUGCAAAGGCAUAAGCCAGCUUGACUGCGAGAGUGACGGCUCGAGCAGGUACGAAAGUAGGUCUUAGUGAUCCGGUGGUUCUGAAUGGAAGGGCCAUCGCUCAACGGAUAAAAGGUACUCCGGGGAUAACAGGCUGAUACCGCCCAAGAGUUCAUAUCGACGGCGGUGUUUGGCACCUCGAUGUCGGCUCAUCACAUCCUGGGGCUGAAGUAGGUCCCAAGGGUAUGGCUGUUCGCCAUUUAAAGUGGUACGCGAGCUGGGUUUAGAACGUCGUGAGACAGUUCGGUCCCUAUCUGCCGUGGGCGUUGGAAGAUUGAGAGGGGUUGCUCCUAGUACGAGAGGACCGGAGUGAACGCACCACUGGUGUUCGGGUUGUCAUGCCAAUGGCAUUGCCCGGUAGCUAAGUGCGGAAGAGAUAACCGCUGAAAGCAUCUAAGCGGGAAACUUGCCUCGAGAUGAGUCUUCCCUGUCGCUUUAAGCGACCUAAAGGAACGUUUAAGACUAAGACGUUGAUAGGCUGGGUGUGUAAGCGUAGCAAUACGUUGAGCUAACCAGUACUAAUGAACCGUGAGGCUUAACCUG